rnacentral:rRNA from 1 species
CCUACGGAAGGCAGCAGUGAGGAAUAUUGGUCAAUGGGCGGAAGCCUGAACCAGCCAAGUAGCGUGCAGGAUGACGGCCCUACGGGUUGUAAACUGCUUUUAUACGGGAAUAACGCGCCUUACGUGUAGGGCUUUGCAUGUACCGUAUGAAUAAGGACCGGCUAAUUCCGUGCCAGCAGCCGCGGUAAUACGGAAGGUCCGGGCGUUAUCCGGAUUUAUUGGGUUGAAAGGGAGCGUAGGCCGCAUGUCAAGCGUGCUGUGAAAUGUCCGGGCUCAACCCGGGCCUUGCAGCGCGAACUGGCGUGCUUGAGUCCGCGGAAAGCAGGCGGAAUUCGUCGUGUAGCGGUGAAAUGCUUAGAUAUGACGAAGAACCCCGAUUGCGAAGGCAGCUUGCUGCAGCGGAACUGACGCUGAUGCUCGAAAGCGCGGGUAUCGAACAGGAUUAGAGACCCUUGUAGUC